rnacentral:rRNA from 1 species
GCCCAACCGUAAAAUAACUCACAUCCACCAACGCCAGGGUAUUACGAGCUUUAGCUUAAAACCCAAAGGACUUGACGGUGUCCCAUCCACCUAGAGGAGCCUGUUCCAUCAUCGAUAAUCCCCGCUACACCUAACCACCCCUUGCAAUCAGUCUGUAUACCUCCGUCGUAAACUUACCAUGUGAAUGCUCACAGUAAGUUUAAUGGCCACCAUCACCAAUACGUCAGGUCAAGGUGCAGCUCAUGGGGCGGCAGGAAUGGGCUACAAUUUCUAUACUAGAACAAACGAAACGCUGCAUGAAAUACAGCCACAAAGGCGGAUUUAGUAGUAAAAAGAAAAUAGCGUGUUCUUUUUACCUAGGCCUGGGACGUGUACACACCGCC